GAGGAUGUAGCUCAGUGGUAGAGCACUUGCUUAGCAUGCAGGAGGCCCUGAGUUCAAAUCUCAGCACCAUACA